AACACCUCACAAUCAAUUUUUAUUUGUUUAGAGAUUGAAAGUGGAUUUGAGUAAUCCGUACUUUUUGUCAACACAAAAGGGCCGGUUACUUGAAAUGCAGGUGCAGCUGGAUUUACAACUGAGCUAUAAGCAUAUCUAUUUAGUCUCGUAAAACAGAUUAUUCAUUUUGCUAAAGCUACUCUAAGGUUGAAUCUCCAUAUGGCUGACUGAUGCAGAUUAACAGAAUGGAUUUAAAAACCCCACUUUGUAAAC
rnacentral:misc_RNA from 1 species